UCUCGCCUUCUCUUCACAGGUUACACCUAUGGAGCCGUGGCCCCGACUACCACCAGUGAGUAUUCCUGGCCCUGAUCUCCUGGGUCCCGUUUGCAUUUGGAGUUUGGGAGCACUUGUUCUCCUUCAUCUGCUGUCCUUGGUCACCAAGCUGUACAGCGGCAGCCAGCUUUGAGACAUAUUCCAUUCCACUCCUGCCUGGUCACCAACUUGAUUAACCACACUGGAGUGGACUCCCUGUGUACCUUGCCGCCUUGGCACAGAGAUUGGACAGAGUUGCCAUCUAUGAGGAAUUC